CGAUUCUGGGAUCGUUGCCUCCCACCCGCUGCAGCCACCCGCCCUCUUUCGUCGCGCACGCGUCGCCUCCGUAGCAGGUACAUACAACGUACGCGUGGUGAUUAACAGCGAGGGGAUAUCUAUCGUCUCCGUAAUUACGUAUGCUGGAAGGAAAUUGGCAUCGUGUGCGAGGCUGACAAGCGGAUGUCCAUUCGCACGCCGAAUCUCGAUACACCGAAGGCGACGUUCGUCGUACGCCGCGAAACAGCGGAAGCCAGAGAUAAGACAAGGCUAUCGCAAACGAGACGGAGGACGGCACGCCGAUACGAAGUGCUCAUUCAUCUCCCUCCCACACCCCCGACGAUCGCCUUAUCAAUGAAUCCAGUGGGCGAAACGAGAGACGGAGAGAACGUCUCGUGUUUCCAUCCGGAUUAAACGAGUCUCGCAACGUGGCAAGGGUCACGUGAAAAUAAAUUCCAAAGCGAAGCCCCGCACGCCCACGAUCACGGUCAAACCACUUUCGAUCACGAGGAGGGUAAUAAUACAGAAUCCAGAAGCGCAUUUCUGGUGUCAACGCGCGAAGAUAUUUAUAAUAAUAAUUGAUAGGAUAAACAUGUGUUGCCGGGCUUCGUAAGUCUAACGAUACGGUGAUAUCGAUGUACGGGCGCGUGCAGGGAUCAUUGACGCGUCGAUAGUGUGUCGUAUAGCUGAUAAGAGAACGUAGUCCGGAAAAGUGUGGUCAACGGUCACCACAUCCUCGAUCAAAUACCUGCCGCCUCUUCCCUGUGCUCGCAUUGCAAAUUCAUCAGCGUCUUACCAGGAACGGCGACGACGUUGCAUACGUCAUCUUUUACCUUUCCGGUAAGCAAUACCAAGGGUUUUUGCCGGGAAGAAUCGAGGCCGAAACAAGUUAAGUCCGUGAUAAGCGAGAUGUAGGAAAAAAAUCGAGCAUUAAAUUUCACGGAGGUAACGCGUACAACUACAUAUUGCACGUACGUACCUAUGUACUCAUUUCCGAGACGGUUGGAACUUGAGACAUGAAUGGCUGAGCGAGACCUUCAUCAUUUCGUUCACAUAAGGAACGUUAAUGUCACGUCACCGGUGAUACCAUACACGGGAUACCUCAUCCUUGUAGGUGAAACAUUCACUGAUUCGAAACCUCUGAGAGUAUCCAGAUGCCCUGAUCAUAACUCAUCUAUCUUAGAUGCAGGAAUUCAAUUGAACUCACCCUUGCGAGAGAUUUGGCUGCUGCGUCAACCCCUCGCUCAACAACUCCAGGCCAGGUAGUUCCCCCUCUGUUUCCUCUUCGGAUAUCCUCUCAGAAGUGUUUGACUCCGUGGAGAUGGUUCCUUCCUGUAAAAAAACAAUAGUUCUAGCAUUGAUCGUUAUACCAUGUAACCAAUAUGCCUGAACAGAUGUUGCCGAAUAAUCUGAAGAGAUUUCGUUACCAAAAUUUGUGGGAUUUGUAAAAAUAAAUCUAUUUUAAAACAGAGG